UAAUUCCAUAAAACAAAACAAAUAACUCAUGUUCAUCAUCCAUACAUAAUAAUUAAUAGACCACAAAAUAAAACAUAAAUUAUCUAACUCUCAAUCUUCUUCAAGCAUCUAUGUCUUCAUUAUUAUUGUUAUUAUUUGAUGUGUUUCUCUUUAAAAAAACAGAAGAAAGAAUUGUCACCUCACCACCAAAUCCAACUCUUCUACUGCUGUGGAAGGAGAUAAAAAAAGAAAAUAGAGAACAUAAAUAAGUGCAUUUGAAAACAGAGAAAAAAAAAAUUGCAAAGAGACUUACCUUGUGCAAAACCAGAAGAAGGGGAGGAGAAG
rnacentral:lncRNA from 1 species